AAUGAACGCUGGCGGCAGGCCUAACACAUGCAAGUCGAACGAGGCAGCAAUGCCUAGUGGCGGACGGGUGAGUAACGCGUGGGAACGUGCCCCUUGGUACGGAAUAGCCCUGGGAAACUGGGAGUAAUACCGUAUGUGGUCGAGAGACGAAAGAUUUAUCGCCAAGGGAUCGGCCCGCGUUGGAUUAGGUAGUUGGUGGGGUAAUGGCCUACCAAGCCGACGAUCCAUAGCUGGUUUGAGAGGAUGAUCAGCCACACUGGGACUGAGACACGGCCCAGACUCCUACGGGAGGCAGCAGUGGGGAAUCUUAGACAAUGGGGGAAACCCUGAUCUAGCCAUGCCGCGUGAUCGAUGAAGGCCUUAGGGUUGUAAAGAUCUUUCAGGUGGGAAGAUAAUGACUGUACCACCAGAAGAAGCCCCGGCUAACUCCGUGCCAGCAGCCGCCGUAA
rnacentral:rRNA from 1 species